AAAAAAGCAGUGAUAUAGUAAGUACAAGACUUGAUUUGUCUAACAGAGAGCCUAGGUAGCUGAGAAUAGGUAACAAAGACGUUUUGGAAAAUGGCUAUUGAGCAAGCGCUCCGAGUGUUAAACACAAGGCGGCGACGGGGGCUCCCGUUAUCGAGCUAGGGUAUCGAACAUGUUGUUCCGUACUUGAAAAGGGAAUUUGUGUGAGCAAAUUCUGAACAUGAGGUGGUAACACGCAAAAAAGCGUCCUCAAC
rfam:Sphingobacterium faecium PCAi_F2.5 genome assembly, contig: Scaffold15